CUUCCCGCCGAAAUGUUUAACAAAAUUCCUUUGUCCUUAGACAAACAAGUCGGACAUAUUUUAGAGAAGAAACAGACUUAAUGUAAUCUUUGAAACUGUUAAGACACACAUACAAGGUAUAUAUAUUUUCCCAGAUUAUUUUUGCUUUAUGGAUAAAAACACGACUUAUAAAAUCUGUUCUCAUACAUUACAGAUCAUCAGACGUUUAACUAUUAUAUAUAUUUAUAUUUAGAUCAAUAGAUGUCCCUUUCCUAAACCCCCAUUUUUUUCUAUAAUUUUUAAGUUUCUGCUACAUUUGAAAAAUAUCAUGCAAGCUGAAGGACAAUCAAUUUUAAUAUCAUUGAUCAAUUUUAAAAACAAUCAAAUCGAAUGAACCUUUGUCAGUGGUCAAGGUCAAAGUAAGCGAAAGUUACCUUUAUCCGAGAUUCUAUUAACCGCAUUGCGCAUGCAACUUUUUAAAUUUGAACCACACAUUUUACGUUUAGCAUCGAUAGAAAAUUCGAGAGAGUUAAUGUCUUAUUCACAAAGAAAAACAGCAUUUUCGAAUCUGAAACACACGAAAAACAUAACGAAAGGUAAGUAAAAUUGUGUUCUGACUUCAUACUUAUUUUUAAAAGGAACGAAAGUGACAUUAUAGGUCUUAUAGUCUUAUAAAUGGGCAACACAUGUAAUCCUCCCACAGAAGUUUAAAGCUAAAUGUUAACCGAAGGAACGUAUCUAGAUGCAGUAAGGCUUAUGACCCCUUAUGCAGUUAUGUAGCCAUGUGACUCAUGAAAUUUUCAAAUAGCAAUAGUAUCAAUACAGCAACGAUAAUGAAAAAAAGAGAUGGGCCAUUUUGUACAGUGGCGGAUCCAGAACUUUUCCUAAGGGGGAGCCCGCUGACUGACCUAAGGGGGGGGGGGGCACUCCAGUCAUGCUUCAAUGAUUCCCUAGAUAAUCAACCAAAUUUUUCCCACGAAAGGGGGGGGGGCCCGGGUGCAUAGGCUUGUCUUUAAUCAGAGGAAAAUUUGUGGUGUAAAUAAGGCCAUAUUAGCCAAAAGGUUGUGAUGAACCUUAAAUGAGGGACUUUUCCUCAGGAAAGGGUCAUUUUACAGUUUUAGAAAGAAAAAAGAAAAACUAAGAUUUUUUUAAUUUUAAAGGGGAAAAUUCAUUUUAUUUGGAACAACUUGUAUAAAAGAGCCUAAGGGGUCCCAUUAUUACAACAAUUCUUGGGCAGGUUUUUACCAUAUGGGUCAUUUUCAAAAAAUGUUGAAUUUUAAAUUUGAAAAAAAUAUUAAGUUACUUAUUCAAACAACCCUCUACAUAAGCAAAUCAAAACAAACAGUACUUUAAGAACAACAUAUUAAAAGAUGCAAUCUUAAUGAUGUCAUACAAGAAUGAUGCGAAGAUUAUGUUUAAAUCUCCGUUACGGCUGACUGCGUUUAUUAAUUCGGUCGUUCUAAUAGUGGUCUCGAUAGGUCCAUGGGACACGUUUUGCAGUCACAUUUCAUGAUGAUGAGAUGCACGUUGAAUUCGUGCCUCUAUAAGGGUAAUUAAGAGGUGCGAAGUUUUUGUGUCAUCAUAAUCUGUUUGGUGCAGUGCUAAUGCCACGACUGAACCCAGGACAGAGAGAGAUCAGGCAAUAGGGCGUUUGAAUGCUUGACAGCAGCAUCAAGUCGUUGCAAAUGCAUUUAACUGCAAUAUACGCACCAUCCAAUGCUACAUGAACACCACAAUGCAACAAAGAGUACAAAUGACCGUCCACGUACUCAACGCUUAUGGCGGACCUGAAUUGAUUAAAUCUGUGAUAUUGUAGUGAAAAACUUUAUCAAUGAAAAUGAACUAAAAUGAUGCGAAUUUGUUAAAUAACUAGGGUAUUUAUACGCCCAAUCAAUAAAGAAUAUAGCAUUUAUUCUUCCAUUAUGUUGAUUACUGCGACGUUUCAUAUAUUAAGAGCAAAUAAACAUUAAAGAAAUGAAAAUAAGUUAUAAUUUUACUAAAUAGAAAUAAAACAUCGAAAAGCAUAUACAUUUUCAUGUGAUGGCCUACUUUGAUCAUGUUGGCACUGCCAUAUGUACUUGAGGACAGUACUUUUUUUAGCCCUCCCCCCUUUUUCCUUAAUCUGUUAUCCACAGCGGUCAUUGAUAUAGAGAUAAUAUAUCAGCGACAGCUGUGGAUAGUAAACUUUGAAUUGAUAGUAAAUAGCAAAUACAAGUUAUUGAAAAUAGUAUAGAAUUAGAAUAGAAUAUUUUUAUUCACAAAAAUAGGGCCUCAGGAGGGCAUAUAGCAUACAAACAAUAUCAUUAUGAACAAUAACUUAUUAUGCAAUACACAUAUAAUAUAUAUGUGACAUGUGGGAAACGACACACAACAAAAUUAUAGCAAUAUAUUAUAAUUGAAUUAAUACUAUGUUUACAUUGACUCAGCUUAAUUUAUGUUCAUAGAACACAGAAAAGCCCGAUAAUAACUGAAAUGAAUAGAAUAUAUUUAUAAAAAGUGAUGGAUUUUGGAAAAAAAAGGGGGAGGGCUUUAAAAUAUUGUCCUGUACCCAAGUACCUAUGACCUAUUGCUAAUUGUAAUUUCAGAUUAUGAUAUUACAUGAAGUCUGGUCUUCUUCCAUUCUAUUUUAGCUUACUUUGUGAAAAUAUUGUGUGUCAUGGAAACGUCUUUGAAAUACCUGUAUGAAUCAUUGCCAUACCGAUUUGUUUUUAGUUUGAAGUUGGUCGUAUAUGAUUUUUUUUGUUACUUUUUCAGCAUUAUUCAAUGGCUAAACUAUGAGGGAUAUGAGAGUUUGGUAAAUGAAACACCAAAUUAUAGCUAUAGAGCAAGUGAGAGAUACAUUGUAGG
rnacentral:lncRNA from 1 species